CUCCAGGUUGAUUCUGCCUGACGUAGACGCUAUUCCCUAAGAUUAACCCAUGCAUGUUUUUGACAUUUGAAAAAUGGACUGCUCAGUAAUACUCACUUUAUUUUAUGUAAAUUUUUAAUUAACUACGUUAAAGUGUAGAUAAGAUGUUUACAGUAAGAGUGAGACCUAUCAGCUAGUUGUUAAGGUAAUGGCUUAACAAGGCUGUGACGGGUAACGGUAUUACUUUGUAAUAUUCCGGAGAAGGAGCCUGAGAGACGGCUACUAAAUCUAAGGAUUGCAGCAGGGGCGAAACUUGACCUAUGGAUUUUAUCUGAGGCAGUUAUGGGAAGUAAUAUUAUAUUGUUUCAUAUUUUAAAAGUAUAUGAGGUGAUUAAUUGGAGGGCAAAUCAAGUGCCAGCAGCCGCGGUAAUACUUGUUCCAAGAGUGUGUAUGAUGAUUGAUGCAGUUAAAAAGUCCGUAGUUUAUUUUUUAAGAAGCAAUAUGAGGUGUACUGUAUAGUUGGGAGAAAGAUGAAAUGUGACGACCCUGACUGGACGAACAGAAGCGAAAGCU
rnacentral:rRNA from 1 species